CAGCCGCCGCGGUAAUACGGAGGGUGCAAGCGUUAAUCGGAAUUACUGGGCGUAAAGCGCACGCAGGCGGUCUGACAAGUCAGAUGUGAAAUCCCCGGGCUUAACCUGGGAACUGCAUUUGAAACUGUCAGGCUGGAGUCUUGUAGAGGGGGGUGGAAUUCCAGGUGUAGCGGUGAAAUGCGUAGAGAUCUGGAGGAAUACCGGUGGCGAAGGCGGCCCCCUGGACAAAGACUGACGCUCAGGUGCGAAAGCGUGGGGAGCAAACAGGAUUAGAUACCCGCGUAGUCCCUGUCUCUUAUAU
rnacentral:rRNA from 1 species